rnacentral:lncRNA from 1 species
CCUUAGGCAAAUUCCGCUCCAAUUUCAAGAAAGUUGUUGAAAACAAUGUAUUGCAUGUAUGUAGUUUCUAAUAGAAGAGUGAAACAAAACAAAACAAGAACAACAAACAAAGCUGUCAAUAGUUGAAGCUUAAAAACCUGCACAUAAAGAAUUGAUUCCCACGUUGAAAACAAACAAGCAGCAGACACACAAAUCCUGCUCUUGACUGUAAGUAGCCUCUUGAAGACUCUGGGCUCUCUGCCAUCCGUUAACCCUUCCCAGGCUUUGGUGUGCUAUCGCACUCUGCCUCUCAGGGCACUGUCCUGGAAGCAGCAAAUGACAGUGAUAUUCUGGACUCCAGGCGCAGCCAAGGAGACCAUCGAGGUUCGUGAACCACAGAAGGCAUCGGUACCAGAGCCAGAAAAGUUGAUGCCCUGACCAUGUGUUUCUUUUUUUGGAUUAAAAAAAAGUUUAUUCUUAAAAUUAAUUCCGUGUUAAGUAAAGCUGAUGUGUUAGACAUUAGAAACACAUUGAAACUCAGCUUUCAUUUUAAAAAGAAAUAAAUGAUGCCCUCUUUCGUGGUGAACAUGCACUCAUGAAAGAUGCUCUGGAUUACCCGAGAGACUUCUUCAGUGUGGUCCAGGCAGCAGAUCUGAUGAAGACCGAGCAAGAUCUCGCUCUAAGGCGUGAAGGAAGUAAACUGUUACAUUGGAAAGAGCAUGAGAUUUGGAGCCCGUGGUGA